GUCUAAGGCCAUAUCACCCUGAACACAUCUGAAAGCUAAGCAGACCAGGCCUGGUUAGUACUUGGAAGGGAGACAAAAGAACAACUAUAGUAGGAUUCCACUGGAAUCUUAGAGUCUUGGCGU
rnacentral:rRNA from 1 species